UCUAAUACCGGAUACGAGACGGGGAGGCAUCUCCUCGUCUGGAAAGCUCCGGCGGUGAAGGAUGAGCCCGCGGCCUAUCAGCUUGUUGGUGGGGUAAUGGCCUACCAAGGCGACGACGGG
rnacentral:rRNA from 1 species